rnacentral:tRNA from 1 species
GCCGGAGUAGCUCAGUUGGUAGAGCGCAUCCCUUGUAAGGAUGAUGUCGUCGGUUCGAGUCCGACCUCCGGCUCCU